rnacentral:rRNA from 1 species
GACAGAGGUGCCGAGCGUUAGGCGGAAUCACUGGGCUUAAAGCGUGUGUAGGCGGGCGGGCAAGUACCUUGUGAAAUCCCACGGCUCAACCGUGGAACGGCUGGGUAUACUGCCUGUCUUGAGCCAACUAGGGGCGAGCGGAACAGACGGUGGAGCGGUGAAAUGCGUAGAUAUCGUCUGGAACGCCGAAGGUGAAAACAGCUCGCUGGGGUUGUGCUGACGCUGAGAUACGAAAGCCAGGGGAGCGAACGGG